rnacentral:lncRNA from 1 species
UUGGACGGCCGCGUUGUUCAGACAUCCACACCUAGAAUUUCUCCAGUGGGUGGCCUGCUGAUAGGAAACAAACGUUAGAUCACAUUAAUUGCUUCCCAAAGAAAGUCAAAUCUCCUCAACGAACCCAGUAAUGAAGAAGCAGACUCCUCUUUUAAACACUGAAUUCAACAAACAAACUACAAUGGAAAAAGAAAAACGAAAUCAGUAUUCAGGAUUCAGUAUUUACAACAAAAUGGAGCCUUCGUAUACUUACCGUACGAAUUUUUUGUUUAAAUUCCUUCCCGGGUUCUUUCUCUUAUGCAUGAUCUCGUGCCCGGAAUCCACAUUCGGAAACAAAUCUGAUCGCCUCGCUCUGCUGGACUUCAAGAGGAGAAUAACAGAAGAUCCUCUCCAUAUCAUGAACUCAUGGAAUGAUUCGGUCGAUUUGUGCAGUUGGGUUGGCGUUACGUGCAACCAUGCGAACAAAAGAGUCAUGAUCUUGAACUUGGAAGCUCAAAAGUUGGUAGGCUCCAUACCGCCUUCAAUCGGAAAUCUUACUUAUCUUAAUGGAAUCAACUUGAUAGACAACAACUUUCACGGCGAAAUUCCUCAAGAAAUCGGACGUCUACUAGGCCUGCAGUAUCUCAACCUGUCUUCGAAUUCUUUCGGUGGGAAAAUUCCAACUAAUAUAUCUCACUGCACGCAGCUAAGAAUGCUCAAUGUUGGUUCAAAUAAGCUGAUUGGGUCAAUUCCGAACCAACUCAAUUCGUUGUUGAAUUUAGCCCAUUUUUUGGUUGGUAAAAACAAUCUCACCGGAACAAUUCCGGAUUGGAUAGGAAACUUUUCUUCCAUGUCUGCAAUCUCUCUUGAUAACAACAAUUUUGAAGGAAGCAUACCAUAUGCGCUCGGGCGGUUGACAAGCUUGGGAAGCUUCGAACUUGCAUCAAACAAACUUUCCGGUACGGUUCCUUCUUCAAUCUAUAAUAUAUCGUCGAUACACUCUAUUCAUGUUACCAACAACCAGCUGCAUGGAGAGCUCCCACAAAAUGUGGGGACUACUCUUCCUAAUCUUGAGUUAUUUGCUGGCGGUGUCAACAAAUUCACCGGAAGUAUUCCUGUUUCUUUGUCAAAUGCUUCUAAACUUCGAUUUCUUGAUUUUGCCGAAAAUGGCCUCACGGGAAAAUUCCCUGCUGAAAAUUUUGGAACUUUGAAAGGGUUGGUGAGACUAAACUUUGAUGACAAUAGGCUGGGAAGUGGGAAAACAAGUGACCUGAGUUCUCUCAGUUUUCUGGCCAAUUGUACUAAUCUUGAGGUGUUAAGUUUUAGUCGUAAUCGUUUUGGAGGGGAAUUGCCAGAGUCCAUAGGCAACCUUUCGACGAAACUGAGAAUUUUUACAAUGGGGGGAAAUUUAUUACAUGGAAGCUUCCCUACCCGGGUUGUGAAUCUUGUAAACUUGAUCAAUCUAGGAAUGGAACAAAACUAUCUUGGUGGUAGUGUCCCUGAUGUGAUCGGUAAGCUUCAGAAGUUGCACGGGCUGUAUUUGAAUCUUAACCAAUUCUCUGGGACAAUCCCGUCGACGCUAGGCAACUUGACUUCAGUCACAAGGCUCUUCAUGGAGGGGAAUAGGUUUGAGGGAAGCAUACCUCCGAGUCUCGGGAACUGCCAAAGCUUAUUGAUGCUUAACCUUUCUAGUAAUCAGCUAAGUGGCACCAUACCUAAAGAGGUUAUCGGGCUUUCAUCUCUAUCAAUUUCUUUGUCCAUGUCGAACAAUUCUUUAACUGGUUCUCUACCAUCUGAAGUGGGCGAGUUGGUACAUCUCUCGGAGCUAGAUGUAUCAGGAAACAAGUUAUCGGGUGAAAUCCCCAUAACCCUCGGCAGCUGUACUAGUUUGGUGAGCCUACAUUUGGAAGGUAACCAAUUUGAAGGAACAAUUCCUCAAUCUCUAGCCAACUUAAGAGGCUUGGAAGAAAUAGAUAUUUCACGCAAUAAUUUAUCUGGCCAGAUUCCUGAAUUUUUAGGUAAGCUUGGAGCUCUGAAGCAACUCAAUAUUUCCUAUAAUGAAUUUGAGGGUGAAUUGCCCACAGAAGGGAUAUUUUCAAAUGCGAGUGGUUUCUCGGUUCUUGGAAAUAAUAAGCUCUGCGGUGGCAUCCGAGAAUUACGUCUACAUGAAUGCACCAGCAAAAAAUCUCAUUCAUCUCAAGGACUACUUGCCCCGAAAGUAAUAAUCCCUCUAACUUGUGCACUUGCAUUAAUAAUUACUCUGUCAUGUUUCAUUGCUUCUUGUGCAUUGGUGAAAAGGUCAAGAGGUAGACCUUUACCUUCACGUUCUAAUGAAGAAUCAAAAUCAGGUGUCUCUUAUUUACAACUGGUUGAAUCAACCAAUGGGUUCUCUCCAGAAAAUCUCAUUGGUUCGGGAAGUUUUGGUUCUGUAUACAGGGGAGUACUCUCUGGUAAUGGCAUCAUAGUUGCCGUUAAGGUGUUAAACCUUCAACAAGAAGGAGCUUCCAAGAGUUUCAUUGAUGAAUGCAAAGCUUUAAGAAGUGUAAGGCACCGCAAUCUUCUCAAGAUCAUAACUGCAUGCUCAAGCAUUGAUAGUCAAGGUAAUGAGUUCAAAAGUCUAGUUUAUGAAUUCAUGGAAAAUGGAAGCCUGGACCCUUGGCUGCAUCCAAGGGAUGACGAAGAAUCUCCAAACAAGAGAUUGAGCCUUACCCAAAGACUGAAUAUUGCCAUUGAUGUCGCUUCUGCACUAGAUUAUCUACACCACAAUUGUGAAACAUGCAUUGUUCAUUGUGAUUUAAAGCCAAGCAAUGUUCUUCUUGACGAAGAUAUGGUUGCUCAUGUUGGUGACUUUGGCCUAGCAAAGUUCCUCUUGGAAGCAUCAUAUGGUACAACCUUGUCAGUAGGGCUAAAAGGUUCCAUAGGCUACAUUCCUCCAGGUAUGGAUUUCUAUGAUCCUCAUUUGUUAUAUUCUUUUAGCACUAAAGAAAUUUCAAAUAUGCUAUAAAUUCUAAGCAUGAACUGUUUUGAAUGGCAGAGUAUGGGAUGGGAGGACAAGUCUCCACACAAGGAGAUGUUUAUAGUUACGGGAUACUGUUGCUAGAAAUGUUCACAGGAAAAAGGCCAACUGAUGACAUUUUUAAAGAUGGUCUAAGCAUUCACCAAUUCACCGCCAUGGCAUUGCCGGACCAUGUCAAGGACGUAGUUGAGCCCUCAUUGCUCCUCGAAACAGAUGACGAAGAUGUUGAAGAUGAUGAUGGCGACGGAUAUGGGAAUAAAAUACGGGAAAGACCACUGGCCAAAUACAAGGAUCCCGGCCCGGACAAAGCAAAAAAACUGGAGGAGUGCUUGUAUUCGGUGAUACAAAUAGGCAUCUCGUGCUCCGCAAUAUCACCAGGAGAGCGGAUGCGUAUGGAUGUGGUUGUCAACAAAAUGGGUGCACUUAGAGACUCAUAUCUCAACUUAAGAAGAAGAAGAUGAUGACGAUUACAAUGUGCAACACCAGGCUAAGUUUCUUUACCUAUUCCGAUCUAUAUAUAGCUUUUAUCUGUAUAAAUGUAUGUGACAUCAUGUAAGAUUGAAUCAAUAUUUUAUCACUAUAUAUAUUUGUCUCUUCAUAAUCGCAGGGCUUGGAAUUUGGUUGGUUUAAGAGCAUUUCAUGCUUGCACCUGAACUACUCAAGAGUUCUAUUACCUCUUUCCUUACUUCGGUUGUAUAAAAAACACCAAUCACACAAUUUGAUACUACUUUUCUAAAACAAAACUUAUCAAUCAUGUUGAAGGAAGAGACAUACGCCAACAAAACAAAGAGAUAUUAUUCGAUAGACAAGGGCACACUUACCAGGUCAUGAAGUAGCAGCAAAGUUGCACACCACCGCAAAUAAGUGUUCCCAGUAAAAUUACUGCAAUUUGAGCUUCCAUAACAGUAAGAAGAAUCAACUUUUCAGUAUGAAUUUGUGUUGAUCGGUCUGGGAUUAAAUUUCGCAGAAUGAUCCCUAGGGAAAGAGGGGGAGGAGUCAGGAAAAGAGGUUCUUUGAGGCUUUUUAUCUGGUUAUUUAAAUUUGGAAUAAAGGAAAGAGAAAAAAAAUAGAGGGAUUUGAUUUGGAGGUUUUAGUGUAAAGGUCACAAAAUACUUCUAAUACUAAGAUUGAGUCAAUC